AAAUGAAAAAUAUUAAUUUCUAUUUCUGUCUUUAUCCAUUGUGCUUGGAUAAUGUUGAUAUCUCCCCAUUAAUCUUGACAUUAACAGAUUUUGUAUAUACCCAUUAUAUAACAUAUAUAUUGUUAUAUAAAGGUGGGUACAGAUUGGCCAAACCACACCUGUAUUGUAACGGUGCAAUACAAGUUCGUGGAAAUAACAACACUACGAACCUGUCACGCAUCUCCAGCGAACCGCAAUAAGAGCGAUCUAGUGGCAAACACGUAGUGUAAUUAUCGGUGUUUAUACAUAUAAAGUAUUUACCCUAAAUUUAAUAAAACGAUACCAAAAGUUU
rnacentral:lncRNA from 1 species